GAGAGCCAAGAGAUCCGUUGUUGAAAGUUUUUAUUUGUUAUAAAAAUUUUACAUUCAUAGACUAGUGUUUAUAAGUGAAGGCUCASAAUCCGAAGACUGCUCGCCAUAAUACAGAUGCACAAAGUUAGAAUUGAGAAGUUCGGGUUCCAAGUUAAAUUGGACACCCUUGUUUUCAAUAAUGAUCCUU
rnacentral:misc_RNA from 1 species